rnacentral:lncRNA from 1 species
CCGUGCAGGCACGGGCCAUAUCCAUCUAGUCAUAAAUAGAAACAGCAACAUUAACAGUCGAUUCCAAAGAACUUCUUUCAAAUAAAAGAUGUUAAUUAAACCAGGAAUCAGGAUUAUUUCAGUUGGCUAAAUAUUUGUUUCCCCAACAAUAUUGUCUCUAGGUUCUAAACUUUAAACUAGACGAUUAACCAUUGUGGCCGCAGCAGCAAGCAUAGCCAGUCCCAGGUCCAGAUUUGAUGGGAAGACAAACACCGCCUUGAAAUCCUUCAUAUUGGCAACCUUUGUCGCAAACCUCUGGUGGCGUAUUUGGUUUGCAGCCUCCCAUGCACCAUACUGGUUUCAUUUUGUUAUCCGCCUCUGUCACUGAACCUGUACAUCAAGUUAAACAAAAGAAAACAUUACUUCAAACAAUAUAUAUAUAUAUAUAUAUAUAUGGACCGGGUUAGUUCGGUUUUGUCGGAUUUCUCGAAUUUUUCAUGUUUUUUGUUGCUUAAAUAUUAUUUUAAGUAACAAAUCUUAUUUUUAUUAAUUUUUUGAUAAAUAAAUAUAUGUUUAAUAAAAAUAUAAAAAAUUGACAAUCAUAUUAUCUAUUAAAAUAUUCUUAUGAGAGAAUUUCUUUAGUGACACAUAAUAGUGAUUUUUUUUUAGUCGUUUGACAAUAAUGUUUCGUUGAUGUAUACUUUCAAGGAUAACCGAAUUUAGUAAUUAAACAUAAAAAUCAAUACGAUACCUAAAUAAUAAUAAUCACUUCACAUUCGAAAAAGAUAUAACAAUUUAAUAGAUCUUAACAUAUGAUAUGAAUAUGGAAGAACAAAAAGAGUUGAUGCAUUUCAGUAACACUUAAUGAGAAAAGUGAUCAUACAACUUAUUAUUUAAGGUUAAUAAAUAUGGAACACUUCAUAUACUAUUAAAUAUUAUAUCCCGCAAGAUAAUCCCAAAUAUUUCUAGACAUUUUUUAAAGAAAAUUCUAUAUAAAAUCUUAAAAGUAUAUAUAAAAAUUAUAUAUUUAUACGUCAGUUUGGUUCGGAUUUUUUUACUCAAUACCAAACCAAAUCAAACCAAACCUAGUCGAAUUUUUUAAUCGGUUUGGUUUGACUUUUCGAUUUGGUGCAGUUUUCCGGUUCGGUUUGUACACCCCUAUACGUUUACAUAGAAACUUUACCUCAUCGACCUAGUUUUGUUCUUAACCACAUUAAUUUACUAUGGCAAUUAGAAGGUGUGUAAGUACCAUAGUUAAGUGAUAAAAAUAUUCGUAAAUCAUAAAUGACUGGUGUUUACACCAAAGGAAAUUGGUUGACAUGGUUAAGUAAAUCAUACAUGACUGGUGUUUACACCAAAUGAAAUUGAUUGACAUGGUUAAGUGGUUGAGGUAAAAGUACAUAUACGAAUUAACUAUAAAUAGCGAUGAAAGAUUAUAUAAAAGACAUGCAUGAUACAUUUAUUGAUUUAGUAUAAAAACGGGUAUGAACGAAUCCAUAUUAUAUAUAACGAUCUUGUGUGCGGGGCAUUAAUGGACAAAAUCUACACCUAAUCCGAUCCUCCAUUUUUUCCCUCUUUUGUGGGAUAAAUAUAUUAAACAUGAUGCUGCAACAGCCUAAAUUUUUCUAAUUCUUGUAAAUUGAUAAGAAAGCAUCAUCUAAUAUUGUAUUGAAAUGUUACCUGAAUUCAAGAAAGAAAAAAUGAACAAAACCAUCAUUAGUCUGAUGGUAAGAGUAUUGUUGAUAGCCUCCAUUUCAGAUUCUUCUUUUCUUUUUUG